UUGUGAGGUGGGACCAUCAGUGUGCCGAACCUGUGGACGAAGCCUGAGAUAAGCGAUGGUCACGAUGAAGAGGAUCUUGAGCAACAUAAUGACCGCAGUGGCUAUGGCAAUGAUCAUUCUCUCCCUUUUCGGCAAGGCCCCACAACCCAGGAAAACGAGGAACGCCACAGCUUUGAAAAGUGAACCGAAGAAAAUGGAUAUUCCCAAAGCGAGCAGCAAUAAUAUUGUCAUUAAAAGGAGCUUACCGCCGAUUGCAGAAAAAGCUCUGCCACCUAUUGUCAUCGUCAUCUGCCCCA